rnacentral:rRNA from 1 species
UACGGGAGGCAGCAGUGGGGAAUAUUGCACAAUGGGCGCAAGCCUGAUGCAGCCAUGCCGCGUGUAUGAAGAAGGCCUUCGGGUUGUAAAGUACUUUCAGCGGGGAGGAAGGCGAUGCGGUUAAUAACCGCGUCGAUUGACGUUACCCGCAGAAGAAGCACCGGCUAACUCCGUGCCAGCAGCCGCGGUAAUACGGAGGGUGCAAGCGUUAAUCGGAAUUACUGGGCGUAAAGCGCACGCAGGCGGUCUGUUAAGUCAGAUGUGAAAUCCCCGGGCUUAACCUGGGAACUGCAUUUUGAAACUGGCAGGCUUGAGUCUUGUAGAGGGGGUAGAAUUCCAGGUGUAGCGGUGAAUGCGUAGAGAUCUGGAGGAAUACCGGUGGCGAAGGCGGCCCCUGGGACAAAGCUGACGCUCAGGUGCGAAAGCGUGGGGAGCAAACGAGGAUUAGGAUACC